rnacentral:lncRNA from 1 species
AGGGACUCGUCCAACUGUAAGGCCGACUCGUCCAACUGUAAGGCCGACCAAUGGCGGUAGGUAACAAUCAUUGUCUUUUUUCUUAAAUUGCAUAAGCCUGUGAUUUAGGCCGGUGUCCUGAAGAAACCGAAGACUAUUGAAAUAACGUAUUAUUAGAAUAUAUAUCAGGAAUGCCUCAGCACUCUCAUGCUGAACCCUGAACAAGUGCAUCAAAGCUUGACAUAAGUAAAUUUUAUACAUAAAGAAACUGUUUAAGAAGCUGCCUUAAUUUCCCAAGAGCAGAAAACCCUGUGAAUAUAUUACGCAUCUUUGCGUUCAGCGUAGUGCUAAGAUAUUCAAAUUCAAAUUUUUUGGUUUUUUAGGACACCCUGUAUAGAUAGAACUUUAUGUAUUUAUAAUCAUGUAACCAUGCAUAGACAUGGUUAAUUGCCCAAUGAAAAGUGUUUACAUUUGUAAAGUACACCUUUUUGUGUGUGUAACAUGAGCAAAACCACAAAGGCCGCAGAAGCAUCCCAUUUUUAAAAAAAUUGGGGGAGGGGGCACCUGCUCCAGUGCUCCAGUUCAACAGCCCCUGUAUAUCUGUCGAGUUUAGAUUUUGACCGGUGCAUGUUAAUAACGAAUAGUGUCAGUCAGUUAUGAUAUUUGCCAGAUAACGUUUACCGUAUCGUAAUAGUUUAUAAACAUGUUUUGUGAUUGCCGUCUUUGAACAAACGUGAUCACUGAAUGUUGCGACUUGUUCUUCAGAAAAUCUAUUUUCCAGUUUCAGUUAUUGUUUUUCAUUGUCUAUAAUCAGCGAAUCACGCAACAUGUUCGUAUAGGUUGCUCUGGGUAAUCUUAACAUUAUAUUGUCCUGUCAUUUCUGCACAUCAGGAGGUAAUUGCCAAGACAACCACCGAAACUGCCCUGGAUGGACGAGAUACUGUAGAAACAAUGAUUACGUAAAGAAGAACUGCAAGAAGACAUGUCGUCUUUGCGGUGGCACUCAGCCAGGGCCUGGGCCGAGCUGCAGUGAUAAAGACAGACGGUGUCCAGGAUGGACGGGAUACUGUCGCAGCAACAAUUACGUGAAAAACAACUGCAAACGAACUUGCAAACUUUGUUAAGGGUAAUUAUUAUUAAGCUGGGCUCUACAUAAAUAUUUCACUGAAAUUAACAAGGAUUAGAUCGAGCGUAAGAUUAACAUUGAGAUUAUGAUUGCCGAGGGUGUAUCAAAAAUCGAAUUCUAAAAAGUCUUAAAAUAUCUUCCAAAAUUGAUCGAUCGAAAAAUGUCCAUAAAAUCCUUAAAGGCGGUUUUCCACGAGGCGGAAUUUUUCGACCGAAUCGAAAUUUCUCUUUGUUUCAUGAGCUCUCGAGCAGAACUAAUUGUAAAAAGACAAAGAGAAAUUUCGUUUCGGUCGAAAAAUUCCGCCUCGUGGAAUCAGGCCUUUAGAAUUGUCAUAUGACCCUGAAUUACAAUCCGCGAAAUCCCUUAAAAAAAGGUCAACAGAAGCUAAGACACAAGAAAUUUACUUUAAAAUCGGCAAAAAAUUUAAUUCUCAAAUUGAAUUCCACAGGAAUUGGAAUUCCCAAAAAUUAUCGCACGCCUUUUUUACAGCAUACAGCUAUUUCAGUUAAGGUUAUCCCCGAGCAAAGCGGAAAAGUCGAACACGAGCGCCAAAGGCUUGCUGGCAUUCGAUAAAAAAUUAAUGAUUUUUUUAGCGUUUCCCAGCAAGCCCUCGUAUUCAACAUUUCCGCUUUGCUCGGGGACAACCUUAAUUGAAAUAGCUGUAUACAUCCCGUGGAUUUUGUUGAGGGUUUGCAGUCAACAAGAAAUCCGUGGUGCUGUCUUCCGCACAACAAAAAAAUUAGGGAUCGGUCAUUAUUUAUGGCGGGGGAGAGCAUCGAAGAGAAAUGUUUUUCUUGAUUUUGCCGAUCCAACCAUUAAAAAGUCAAAAAUGAUUUCUUUUACCCAACCUCAAAUGCCAUUCAAUUGUCACAUAUCCUUUACCAUUUCUGUUUCGUGAGUUUGAUAACUGCUUGUGCAAUUUUCUGCAGUCUAAAUUGUUUCAUGUUUGGUCUGCACAUGUACUUUCUUUGGAGACACCAUUCGCCUCCUGACAAAUCAGAAAAUAAUCAAGACAGUCGACUCUGAUUGAUUUACUCAUUAUCAGAUGACAUAUGACUGUUGACAUUGCUUUUUAGUCUUCAAUAUUUGAGUGAGUCAUGCUUUGGAAAUGACAAUAAAUUUUUAUUACCCAACCGUUGAGAUAUUUUGUUUUUCAUUUACCCAACGUUAACCUUUGACUCACUCAAAAUUUUGUUUACUCAACCUUCGCCAUGAAUAAAUGAAGUUAGCACGUUCAGACUAGUGAUGCGCACUACGAAUGCGCACUACGAAUUUGUUUGAGUAAGCUCGGCUGGUCCCUUACCCUCACCUUUAAUUUAUGUGAGUUUUUUUGUUUUAUUUUAGAGCGAAAUUCCACGAAAUGCAACUGCUAGUCUUUUGUAGACAUAUAAAAUGAUUGAAAUGUUGCAAAAUACCGAUCAGUAAAAAUAAAAUUUCAUUGAAUUGAAUUGAAAA